GUGACACACAAUAUAUUCUUGAUAAUGUAAUAUGUAUUCAUAGGCACAUAGACACACCAGGAACAGACAUAAGCUUAUAAUGCCUAUUACUCGGUGGUUGAAGAGUUGGACUUCCUAAAGAGAUGCAACGUUUACGCAAUAAAGGACCAUAUUCAGAGAGGAUGUGUAACGGGGUUUUAUCUGCAUUAUAACAUAAUAUCUGAGGCCUACGAUUGAGAGGUGUUUGUUCAAUCUGUAGUGCCCGUUAGUGUCUUGGUUAGAAUGCAUUAGAGAUUUUAGUGGAAUUGUGGAGCUACUCACCAAUUGUCAUACUUAGGCAGCGGCUUGACAGUUCCCUGUUGCAGCAUGAUCUGCAGUAGGGCACUGGCUUCCAGCUCUGAACCGUCGCACACGUGGAC